rnacentral:rRNA from 1 species
AACGAACGCUGGCGGCAUGCCUAACACAUGCAAGUCGAACGAGACCUUCGGGUCUAGUGGCGCACGGGUGCGUAACGCGUGGGAACCUGCCCUUAGGUUCGGAAUAACCCCCCGAAAGGGGUGCUAAUCCCGGAUAAUGUCUUCGGACCAAAGAUUUAUCGCCUUUGGAUGGGCCCGCGUUGGAUUAGCUAGGUGGUAGGGUAAAAGCCUACCAAGGCGACGAUCCAUAGCUGGUCUGAGAGGAUGAUCAGCCACACUGGGACUGAGACACGGCCCAGACUCCUACGGGAGGCAGCAGUGGGGAAUAUUGGACAAUGGGCGAAAGCCUGAUCCAGCAAUGCCGCGUGAGUGAUGAAGGCCUUAGGGUUGUAAAGCUCUUUUACCCGGGAUGAUAAUGACAGUACCGGGAGAAUAAGCUCCGGCUAACUCCGUG